rnacentral:pre_miRNA from 1 species
CAAGUACUCCCUCCGUCCGGAAUUACUUGUCAUCAAAAUGGAUGUGUCUAGAACUAAAAUACAUCUAGAUACAUCCAUUUCAAUGGUAAGUAUUUUCGGACGGAGGGAGUACAAG